AGCGAACGCUGGCGGCAGGCUUAACACAUGCAAGUCGAGGGGGCAUCCCUGUGGGGUCCGCGGCAGACGGGGGAGGAACGCGUGGGAAAGGGCCCCUCGGGUCGGAAUAACUCAGGGGAACUUGAGGUAAAAACGGAGAAGGGGGGGAGCAGAAAGGUUUAUCUGCCGAAGGGUCGGCCCGCGUCUGAUUAGCUAGUUGGUGAGGUGAUGGCUCACCAAGGCGACGAUCAGUAGCUGGUCUGAGAGGAUGAUCAGCCACACUGGGACUGAGACACGGCCCAGACUCCUACGGGAGGCAGCAGUGGGGAAUAUUGGACAAUGGGGGCAACCCUGAUCCAGCCAUGCCGCGUGAGUGAUGACGGCCUUAGGGUUGUAAAGCUCUUUUCUUCGGGACGAUAAUGACGGUACCGGAGGAAUAAGCCCCGGCUAACUUCGUG
rnacentral:rRNA from 1 species